rnacentral:lncRNA from 1 species
AAAAACACAACUGAUUCCACAAGAAAUUUCCUGAUUACUGAGUAUACUUUCCUCGCUAUGCAAAAUCAUGCACCACCCAGUUAUCACUGGUAGAUACUCAACAUACCCACUACUCUGCCACUGAAGCAUUUUUAUACUGACUGCACUGUAACAUUUAACUUAUAAUUGUGCAUUUCUGUCAGUUUUUAAAACUGUUUUUUUCUCAAAUUUGCACAGAUGUCAAGUCCACCCAAGGAGCACAGGACAGCAGCUAUUACCAUACUACCAAAGCUCUGAACCCAUGGAUGUAGAAUUAAAAUUCCAUGCUUGACAGUUCCUGUCUCCACCAACCCCAGAAGGGCCGAGACAUUUCCUCUCAAGACAACAGCUACUCCAUGUGCAAAAGGAACCAAACCUUUUUAUCUAUCAGAAAGAAGAAGGAAGAGCUGCUGACCUUUACUUGAAAAUAUGAAUCCCAGUCUACCUUUAUCUGCAGGAAACCAAAGGUUUAUGACAAACAGGACUUCUGACAGAGUCGCCAGCUGUCACAGUAAGACUACCAGGUUACAGUAGAACUGGGGUAAGCAGACAUUGAUCACUCAGGCUAAGCAUCAGACUGACUCUACUACUUGGUUAAAGAAUUACAUGAGACUUCUCAAAUUUCAAUAUUCAAUCCACAUCAGGAGCACAUCUGACUCUGCUAGAAGGACAGUGACUUUUGAGAAGAUGAAAUGGCUUUUUCUUGACUGCUGUUUUGCAGAAGAAAAGCUUUGCUACCUUUAUCAUCAAACAAAGUCAGUGCCAGGAAAUAAACCACAGUCCUACUGAAGUGAACAUCCACCAUGAAAAAAAACCCAAGGUAAAGACUACAUGUAUAGAUUUUUGCAGUCUUCGGUGAGGGUGGAGAGGAACGAGAGAAAACAAAAACUGUAAGUAAUAGAAGGUUGAGGAUGAGAAAAGCUGCUUCUCACAGCAAAGCCAAACUAAUGUGCCACAUAACCAAGAGUUUAGACCAGCUACAAGUCACAAACUGGAAGCAAAAGGAUGAGAGAUGCUUUCAGAGUUACUAUGUAGCGUCAGUAGUCUCUACUACUGAUAGUUGGCAUCCACACAUCAAUUUCCAACAUUUUUUAAUUUGCUGUUUGUCAUAUAGUUUCCUUUGUGAAAUUCUACUACAAAACAGAGAUUAAAAGCCUCCUAACAACUAUCUAACAGCAACUAGUUGACAUUAAGAUUGGAUACUGAGAGAUGUAUUUACCAAUGUAUAGUAGAAGGCAAGACCACGUAAACAUGGCUUAAAUCUAUAUGAUUUAUCCCAAACUUCUUUGCCAGGAGGAGACAGGCAUUUGAUCAAGCUACCAGAUAGUGGCUGAUUUAGCUUCAGAAAAACUAGAAAAGGUACUGAAAUAAAGACAAAAGCAGUAAGGAUUCUCAUUCUCUGUAUGCGCAAACCAACUGCAAGCUUCAUCACCAUUACAGGAAUUACCUAUUCUUAUUCAGAUUUAAAUUUCAUCUUUAGAAAAACUUCUAAGAAAAAUAAAAAAGUUUUAUUAUUUGAAGUCAUUUCAAGUGAUAUCUAAAAUAUCAUUCUUCCUUUGUUAAUAUCAGAAGUUUCACGCUGGGCAGAAAUCAAUAUGAAGAAAGUGAAUCAGUUCAGCCUGACUUCCUGUAAAUUGAUUUCAGUACACUGAAACAAGUACAUUUUAAAUUUUGAAGCACAAGAUGGUUCCUGUAAAUGAACAAGAGUAUAGUUCCAUUUCAUAACCUACCAUCCUCUCUUUACACAGAAAGGGCAUGUGAUUUGAUCUACGUAGGUAUAAGGCAUGCGUUCUGCUGCAGGAACAAAAACUUUCCAGAAGUUAUACUCUGAAUUCCUGUCAGCUGUAUGACGACUUUAGUGAGCAAUGAAAAUCAUUACCAGACCUUCUAUGAAGCUGUCUUUUCCCACCUCCUCCAGCUGUCCAUUCUGACAAACUUUUUCCUUAAUUUUGAUAAACACAACAAAAGGCUACCUGUGGGUUUGUAUGCUGUUGGGUUGGGGUCUUCCUUUUAACUGCUUUUAAUCAUGCCUUUUGUAGUGAAGCUACCUGGCUGGCAUCCUUUCAUAUAAAUAAGACUUACUACACAAUUCACUCACAUACUUAGAAAAAAAGAAUAUGUGAUGCUUAACUGAAUUACUGGUUCAGAAUUUAAACUCAGCCUGGCACCUAAAUGACAACAAUGAACAUUUUUAAAUGUUGGGCAAUUUUCUUAUUAACAAAUAAUUUCAAAGGCUUCUAAGGUACUAGUACUGCAUGUAGUUUGCUCUGAAAGUAAUGCCUCUUCCUGUUUACUUCCAUGGAAAAUACAACAGAUGCAAAGAGCACAAUACCACUAUUAGAUAGUGUUUAGUAGCUGAGAAUUUGCUCUAUUUUUCAAUGUAUUCAUCACCAUUUGCUGUGCAUUUUCACCAGCGAUGAACAGGAGCCCUUCAUGCUGCACUCAAAAACAUCUGUACCAGUAGAGGUGACCACUAUCGCCAUGGCUUAAAUGCACCACCCAUGCCUCCUUGUGCCAACAUCCACUGGUUGGUCUUCAUAAACUUCCAGCAAGCAUCAAUGAAUGUCACUAGGAAUGUCUAUUUUCCUCAUGGGGGGGGCCUUACCUUCAUUCUAUACCCACUUCCACAUCAGACACCACUCUGUCAGACUGCCCCUGUGCUGCCAUCUGUCACACAGCAACAAAAAGUAACAGGACAUUGGUGGGAAGGUUCAGCCCCUACUGCCACACCACCAACAGCCACCUCUGAUGUUGUGGGCCAACAUCAUAAAAAUAGGAAGCAUUACUUUCAGAGCAGCUCUCAAACCAUUAAAAAAAGACUUCAUAACUGUCUGCCUAAAGAGAGACUCCAGGUAGCUGUUAAAACUAAUAUUUGAACUGCUGUCACUGUUUAAAACUCUGUAAGUCAGUGGGGGGGGGGGGUCACUCAUCAUACGCUUAUCUUGUGAGACGUAAGCAAGCUACUACAAUGAUUAAAGGACCCAGAACACCCACACAAAGAUUGUUUUCUGUGAUCUUGAUGAGUAAUACCACACUUGCCAAAUUUCAAAGCAAGGAGCCCCACACAUCUGAGCUAAAGUUUACGUCUGCCUCGAUUAAGUUAUUACUGCAUUUUUUUUUUUUUAAGAGACUUAAUUUUAUAUUAAAAUAUAUACUUCACAUUCACUGAGCUACAAAUGAAACUGAUCUGUGGUGUCUGUGUCCUUUCACCUUUUCCUGGAAAGUAUGUUGACUAAAAGCCAAACAAACAGCACAGCACAUUGACUGCUUCAUAGACAAACACUGCAGUCAUUUUGUUCAGGACAAAUAUUUUUAAAGAAACAAAAUGAAAUUGCAAAUGUUUGAUUAAAAAAAAAAGAAAAAGAAAUGUCAACAUUUGUGCAUUCAUCUUAUUAGAAGUUUAUACUGUUUGUGAAAACAACGUUUUUAUGCACUAGUCCUAAAAUACCAAUCACAAAUAAGCUGUGAACAUUGCCUCACUAACUAAUUAUCUUUCCCUUUUCUUCUUAAUUGAAACUGAUCAAGUAGGAUCCAUGAAGUGUUAGGGAUUUCAGCUAGGAGUAAGGUGAUCAAACGAACUUAAUGGACUUAUCCACAAAAAUGACAAGAUUUACAGGCAUCUACAAAAUAGACAAGAUCUAAGCAACAUUCCAGAUAUGGGCAGAAUUGCUAUCUACUACGAAAUCAUUACCUCUCUUAAAUUCAACAUUCUUCUUAUCCAAUAGAAGGAAAAAAAAAUAUAUGUAUUUGCCAGGCUCUUGGGAUUGCUAUAGUUCCAAUUUUCAAGGCAAGCCUAACAAGUCAGAAGAGAAGUUUUCUUAAAUAUUGUCUCCUAGUGGUAAAGAGAAGAAAUACAGAGCUUUCACUUUUUGGAGAGUUUGACUUCACACCCCUGCAUUUAGUUGGCACUGGAACAACUCCUUGGAGGGUAUCUGAUUCCUUGAAUAAGAUCACAAUGACUUUUAACCAUGGAUUCAGUAACUGGAAAGAUACUUUUUUCCAGUUUUCAGCUUGUUCUGCUGCAUUACCUUCUUUUGCAAAUGGAUAAUGAGGUUCAAAUAGGAAAAAAAAAAAAACAAACAAACUAUACCAACUCUCUUGAAUGGUGCCAUAUCUACAUUUAAGUAGUGGCUCAGCUAGAAGGUAAGGAAGACCAAAGACAGUUUACAAAUAGUACUAGAUAACAGGAAACGAGUUCAUUUCAGAAUUUUUGGUGUCUGGGUGCCCAAAACAAAUAUUGAAAGGUAGGUGGAAUUAGAGAUGGCUAAAUAAAGACACUUUAAUCAAAAGCAAGACAUGGUCCAUUUUGAGAGAGAAGAAAUACUAAACCUAAAGAGGUCUUAGAGCACGAGAUGUGUCUGAAAACAGAAAAGCUGAAUCUUUACAAGAGCUCCAGAGUUCUGUUCAUAUUUACUUAUCAAACUAUUUAUAAAUACAACAAUGUAGCUUUGACCUCACAGUAUCUCCUAGAAACCAGCCAGUGAAAGAAGUAAUAGGAAAAGCAGGAAACUUCAUCCACUCUAUGACUUACCACCAAUUUACUCUUAUUAUGCUGUUAACACAGCAUUAGAAUUUGCAUGCAAAGAGAAAAAUGGGUUGUGGAAGAACCUGCAAGUUCUGCAAGUUCAUUAGAGACUUAAAGCUACAAAAAAUAUCCUUUUAGGACUUAAAAAGGAAAACAUCUUUUUCACAUCACUGCUAUUGUUCUUUAAAUGCUCUAAUGUUAAGUUGUUGUUGCCAGCAUUACAUUCCAAAAUAAACAUUUAUAUCAACUUGAACUGCUGAAACAUUAAAGGGUUUCAGUGAGCAAGAAAACACCGUUCAGCAAGAGUACUUAUUUUGAUCUACUUGAUCUCUCCCAAUAGCCAUUGCUGCAGCCAUAUCUUCCCACAAGAACUGCAAAUAUACCAGUUAAGGAAGUCGUCACUGAAGACCAUUAGAAGAUACUUCUUCAUUGCUAUUAUGGCUGCUCCUUGUGUUCUCCAAGCAGAUUAAUUUUCAUCAGCAAUGCUCUAACUCAUUUGGCUUCUAACUUUGGAGCCAACAUUUCUCAUUACCAUUUUAGGAAUCCAGCUACUACACAGUAAUGCUGUCUGGCUGACAGCUGCGUUGGAACAACUAUAUACUUCUCCUUUCACAACAGAGGAUAUUUCUAUGAGCAAUUUUUCUAGCUCCUGUAGGAAUGCUUUUGUCUUCCCUGAUCCCCAGAGACAAGGGGAGAAAGUUUUAGAUUAGCUCCCCUCCCCCUUUGCUAGCUUUAUAAAAAAAAUAACCUGUCAUUGGAAGCAGACAUCACUCAGCAUCAUCGGAACCAGGCCUGGAAAUCAUGAGUUUCCUUUACAUUUCUGGACAGAAAGUAUUUCAAAAUAGAAAAGUGCAUCUAUAUUAACUGUCAAUGGCCUGUUUUCCAUCAUGACACAAAAUCCAAAACAAACAAAAAAAAUCAGAACUAUUUUCUGGAGUUUGUCUAGAUUUUAUUUUCUUGAUUUGAGUUGGUCUGGAUGUCUCUUACCAUCAUGAAAAACAGAAGUGAAAAAUAUAAAGCUUAUGAAAACAGAAUUAACUUUAAGCUAUCAGUUUCAACAUCCAGCACUGACUAAACUCGGAUCUUACCUGUUGCAAUUUAGAAGGGAUACAGUAAGGAAGCUAUUGGUGUUAACAGAAGUAAAAGAGAAUUAAAAUAGGGUGGUUUUUUUUUUUUUUUUUUUUUUUACAACUGAGUUCUUAUCUGAAGUAGCUACACAUUUUUCAGAAAACACAGUCAGUUAAAUCAGUUUUAGAUACCAGCAUGCAAUACGCUACAUUAAAAUUAGACUGAUAUAAAAUUAAAGAAAAAAGGCAACAUAUUUAUACAUGAAGUACAUACAUUUAUUACACAUGCAUUCUGAGGAAUAUAUUUUGCUCAUCUAAUGAUCUUUGCAGAAAGUACCGAACAAAGCUUACUGGGAAAAAGAAAAAGAAAUAAUAGUUUAGAAUUUAAUUUUGAAGUCAGUCUUGUUACUAUCUCAUAGAAUUACAAACACUUAAUAUGAUGUGACUUAUAUCAGUACUUUCCAAACUCUUGUACUGCUACAGUUACUUCCUGAAGUACAAAACAGC